UACGUAGGGGGCUAGCGUUGUCCGGAUUUAUUGGGCGUAAAGAGCGUGUAGGCGGCCAGAUAGGUCUGCUGUGAAAACUCGAGGCUCAACCUCGAGAUGUCGGCGGAAACCAUUUGGCUAGAGUCCGGAAGAGGAAAGUGGAAUUUCUGGUGUAGCGGUGAAAUGCGCAGAUAUCAGGAAGAACACCCGUGGCGAAGGCGGCUUUCUGGGACGGUACUGACGCUGAGACGCGAAAGCGUGGGGAGCGAACAGG
rnacentral:rRNA from 1 species